rnacentral:rRNA from 3 species
UACGUAGGGGGCAAGCGUUAUCCGGAUUUACUGGGUGUAAAGGGAGCGUAGACGGAGCAGCAAGUCUGAUGUGAAAGGCAGGGGCUCAACCCCUGGACUGCAUUGGAAACUGUUGAUCUUGAGUACCGGAGGGGUAAGCGGAAUUCCUAGUGUAGCGGUGAAAUGCGUAGAUAUUAGGAGGAACACCAGUGGCGAAGGCGGCUUACUGGACGGUAACUGACGUUGAGGCUCGAAAGCGUGGGGAGCAAACAGG